rnacentral:rRNA from 1 species
AUUGAACGCUGGCGGCAGGCCUAACACAUGCAAGUCGAACGGUAACAGGAAACAGCUUGCUGUUUCGCUGACGAGUGGCGGACGGGUGAGUAAUGUCUGGGAAACUGCCUGAUGGAGGGGGAUAACUACUGGAAACGGUAGCUAAUACCGCAUAACGUCGCAAGACCAAAAGAGGGGGGACCCUCGGGGCCUCUUGCCAUCGGAUGUGCCCAGAUGGGAUUAGCUUGUUGGUGGGGUAACGGCUCACCAAGGCGACGAUCCCUAGCUGGUCUGAGAGGAUGACCAGCCACACUGGAACUGAGACACGGUCCAGACUCCUACGGGAGGCAGCAGUGGGGAAUAUUGCACAAUGGGCGCAAGCCUGAUGCAGCCGUGCCGCGUGUAUGAAGAAGGCC